rnacentral:tRNA from 1 species
GCACCCGUAGCUCAGCAGGAUAGAGCGUCGGUUUCCUAAACCGCAGGCCGGGGGUUCGAAUCCCUCCGGGUGCACCA